GAUGAACGCUAGCGGCAGGCUUAAUACAUGCAAGUCGAGGGGCAGCACGGGUAGCAAUACCUGGUGGCGACCGGCAAACGGGUGCGGAACACGUACGCAACUUUCCCAAAACUGGUGAAUAGCCCUCCGAAAGGAGGAUUAAUACACCGUAACAUAAUGAAGUGGCAUCACUUUAUUAUUAUAGCUCCGGCGGUUUUGGACGGGCGUGCGCCUGAUUAGGUAGUUGGCGGGGUAACGGCCCACCAAGCCUUCGAUCAGUAACUGGUGUGAGAGCACGACCAGUCACACGGGCACUGAGACACGGGCCCGACUCCUACGGGAGGCAGCAGUAAGGAAUAUUGGUCAAUGGACGCAAGUCUGAACCAGCCAUGCCGCGUGAAGGAUGAAGGUCCUCUGGAUUGUAAACUUCUUUAUCUGGGACGAAAAAAGGGAAUUCUUUCUCACUUGACGGUACCAGAGGAAUAAGCACCGGCUAACUCCGUGCCAGCAGCCGCGGUAAU
rnacentral:rRNA from 1 species